rnacentral:lncRNA from 1 species
CAUAUCUGCUCCCCAUCACAAUGCUGUCAGAGGAUCGACAGCAUACAGCUUCCAUAGACACAGGAGGAGCAUCUCUGAACCUGAUCUUGUCUGUACAAGCCAAGGGACACCAUUGCCAAGUAUCCUCAUUGAUUCUCAAGGAAGAGAGCCGUAACACCACUUCAAUUUUCACUAAUCUAUGGAAGAAUACAGCACAUUAAGUGGAAUUAAGGGAUGCAUGUCUCACAUUCCCACAGCAGCUCCUGAGACACCCAUCAGUCUGUGCCUUCUGCUCUGCACAGCCCAUGACAGAUGAAUGCAAUACAGGAGCUGUGCUGCUGUCCAGCUCAAGCUGAAUGUCACCAAGAGCCAAACGCACACAUUUGAUCAGCCUGGGGUGAGGGCUGCUGUUAAUUAUUGCUGCUCUUGAAAAUCCAAGUGACUUUGUAUCUCAGCAGGAGGUAAAGAAACUCACACAUCAUACAAAAGGUGGGUAGGUAAAGCAGUGGGAAGUGGGAGGUUUUGGUAGACAAGACUUCCUCCAAGAGACAUUUAAAAGUGUUUCUCUCCAUUUACCAGGAGCUUAGGCACUUACUUUCACAGUAUUACCUUGCUCAGUACUUAAAUUAUGAAUGGCUUGAAUUUUG